rnacentral:misc_RNA from 1 species
UUUCCGUAGGUGAACCUGCGGAAGGAUCAUUACUGAGUUGUCAUGGGGUACGAUUCUAACAGCCAGUUUUUUGAUUCAUGUGCUUGUCCUAACACUCCUCUUCUUCCAAACACCUGUGCACCUUUUUGAGGGAGUCUUGAGUUGGUUGCCGCUCUUCGGUGAUUUUCUCACAUUCCCUUACUUCAUUAUACGCUAUUCACACUGUUACACGUGCUCUGUUCCUCACGUCCAUUAAUAUCAUACCACUUUUAACAACGGAUCUCUUGGCUCUCACUUCGC